ACGAACGCUGGCGGCAGGCUUAACCCCUGCAAGUCGAGCGCCCCGCAAGGGGAGCGGCAGACGGGUGAGUAACGCGUGGGAACGUACCUUUUGGUUCGGAACAACUCCGGGAAACUGGAGCUAAUACCGGAUAAGCCCUAACGGGGAAAGAUUUAUCGCCGAAAGAUCGGCCCGCGUCUGAUUAGCUAGUUGGUGUGGUAACGGCUCACCAAGGCGACGAUCAGUAGCUGGUCUGAGAGGAUGAUCAGCCACACUGGGACUGAGACACGGCCCAGACUCCUACGGGAGGCAGCAGUGGGGAAUAUUGGACAAGGGGCGCAAGCCUGAUCCAGCCAUGCCGCGUGAGUGAUGAAGGCCUUAGGGUUGUAAAGCUCUUUUGUCCGGGAAGAUAAUGACUGUACCGGAAGAAUAAGCCCCGGCUAACUUCGUG
rnacentral:rRNA from 1 species